AGAAACGCCGAGGUCGUCUGAUGAACCAGAUCAGGUGCUCGCGUCUAUCGUUCUGCAACACAGGUGGGGCUUUGGAAAGGUGAGGCUAUAUGGACAUUAUAUCCUAUAAACGGAACAAAGCAAGAAUGGUUAGAACUCGAGCAUCGACAGCAUGAUCUUAAGGAAGAGAAGCUGAAAAGAUGCAUGAGAGGCUGCCGGUGCUGCACUGACUGAUCUGACAGUGCGUGCAGCAAGACUGUGACCUCCUGACCCUCUCUGAAAGACAUCAGGACAGCACAGAUGGAAGGCACACCUUAGCCCCUGUAUGAUUCACUUUCGUUCUGAUUACUGCUUUAAUAUGGUGUAACAGCUCUUUUCCUGCCCAGGUUCCUGUUUAGAGGCCUUCCUGUAAAUGUCAUGUGUUUCCAUGAAUAAAUCAGACUUUAUGACUACACAAUUGCAGCA